UCAUCAUCUCCUUCAGAAGUGGUAGCAGAAAUCCAGUCAACCAAAUUAUCUGUGCCACGAUUUUUCCUCCCAAAUUUCAGAAACCGUUUAAAUCCUCUGGCCAUAUCUUUGCGUGAUUGAUUAUGAGAAGAAUUUGCCACGAGCAUAGGUUUCUGAGCCAUUCCCCAUUUCUUCCUCAUUCUAGCUGCAUCACUAUCUGUUUGACUUAGAGAAUGUGAAUUCCAAGAUGCAGGACUUCCCACAGGAGAGUCCAUGGAUGCAUCAACAUCUGACAUCUCAUGAGGAUAAGAAAAAGGGUGAUGAGCAUGUGUACUCCAUGACACAGGACUUUCUCCCGGUGAAUCUUGUACAAUUCCAACAGAUAACAACUUGUUUGAGACCAUAGAAGGCAAUACAACUUCUGAAGCAGAGUUCACUUGAGAAAAUGAUCUCAGAACAUCACCAUUCUCUGAUCCAGAGUUUUCCAACUUCUCUGAAUCAUGGAUCAGUCUUGGUUCCCCGUUGUCAAAGUCUUCCUGAAUUUUAGCAGUCAUGUCCUCAAAUUCUUCCUCUUGUUCAUCAGGGCCCCUGCCUUCAGAGUCUUCGGGCUCAAAUACCAUAUCAUCAUACUCAUCAUCAUCGUCCACAAUCUUAGAUACAGCAGAAGCCCUCGUCUUAGUCAGACCACCUCUAGAGCUGAAGUCAGGAUUCUUACCCUUCUUUAGUAAAGUCUUCGAACCAGAACUCUUUGAAAAUUUAUCAGUGAUACUCUGGUCCAUUUCAUCUUUGUCAAACUUGAGAGGUGUUAGAACAACACCAUCAGAAUCGAAAGUGGAUGCCUCCCUAAAUUCCACAACAUUGGCGGAGCUUUUUCUCAAGGAUUGUAGUCUUCGUGAUUUGUCCUCCUUGAUAAGGGAUACCUCUUCACUUGUGCUUUUGCCACGGGUGUAAUUUCUAGAUUGUGAACGAGUUGUUUUACCAGCUGUGGAAGAAGGUUUGGUGUUCUCUUUUCUCAUAUCAGAGAAGUUUGGGACAGACUGUGCCAGAGGAUUUUCAGAUUGAAUCCUCCGCUUACCUGAUGUAUUAUUAGAAGCUUUCCCAGAAGACCUUGGAACAGGUGCUACUAUGGUGCGAGGUGUGGAUGAAGACAGACCUUUGCCAGGUAAAGGCUUCUUGCUCCGAGUGCUUUUACGAACAUCAUCACCGAAGGAUGUUUNUGUCAAACUCUAGAAACAAAAUUGAACAUCAAAAGUUGUUCUUGAGGCAACAAAAAAUCCACCCUACAGAAACAAGUAUAGUUUGUUUGGGGAGAAACACAUUAUUUCACCUUGUUCACUGAAAAAUUCGUUCUCAUAAAAGCUAUCAUCAGAUGGAUGUUCCUGAGAGAAGCCCAUUCUUGACUUUCUUAAAUCAUCUGAAGAUCGAUUAGAAGGGUCACGUCCAUCUUCUGUAUCAUCAUCUCCUUCAGAAGUGGUAGCAGAAAUCCAGUCAACCAAAUUAUCUGUGCCACGAUUUUUCCUCCCAAAUUUCAGAAACCGUUUAAAUCCUCUGGCCAUAUCUUUGCGUGAUUGAUUAUGAGAAGAAUUUGCCACGAGCAUAGGUUUCUGAGCCAUUCCCCAUUUCUUCCUCAUUCUAGCUGCAUCACUAUCUGUUUGACUUAGAGAAUGUGAAUUCCAAGAUGCAGGACUUCCCACAGGAGAGUCCAUGGAUGCAUCAACAUCUGACAUCUCAUGAGGAUAAGAAAAAGGG
rnacentral:lncRNA from 1 species